rnacentral:rRNA from 1 species
AUUGAACGCUGGCGGCAUGCCUAACACAUGCAAGUCGAACGAGUGGCGGACGGGUGAGUACUGUCUGGGAAACUGCUCGAAGGAGGGGGAUAACUACUGGAAACGGUAGCUAAUACCGCAUACCAUCGGAUGUGCCCAGAUGGGAUUAGCUUGUAGUUGAGGUCACGGCGAACCUAGGCGACGAUCCCUAGCUGGUCUGCGAGGAUGACCGGCCACACUGGAACUGAGACACGGUCCAGACUCCUACGGGAGGCAGCAGUGGGGAAUAUUGCACAAGGGGCGCAAGCCUGAUGCAGCCAUGCCGCGGGUAUGAAGAAGGCUUUCGGGUUGUAAAGUACUUUCAUCGGGGAGGCGUUACCCGCAGAAGAAGCACCGGCUAACUCCGUGCCAGCAGCCGCGGUAAUAC